rnacentral:rRNA from 1 species
AACGAACGUUAGCGGCGCGCUUAACACAUGCAAGUCGAACGAGAAAGGGCUUCGGCCCCGGUACAGUGGCGCACGGGUGAGUAACACGUGGGUAAUCUACCCUCGAGCGGGGGAUAACGUUCCGAAAGGAGCGCUAAUACCGCAUAAGACCACGCUCUCGAAAGGGAGCGAGGUAAAAGUAGGCCUCUGAAUUCACGCUUACACUCGAGGAUGAGCCCGCGGCCCAUCAUGGUAGUUGGUAGGGUAAUGGCCUACCAAGCCGAAGACGGGUAGCUGGUCUUAGAGGAUGAUCAGCCACACUGGAACUGAGACACGGUCCAGACACCUACGGGAGGCAGCAGUGGGGAAUCUUGCGCAAUGGGCGAAAGCCUGACGCAGCGACGCCGCGUGGGUGAUGAAGGCCUUCGGGUCGUAAAGCUCUGUGGGGAGAGACGAAUAAGACGUGGCUAAUAUCCACGGCGAUGACGGUAUCUCCUUAGCAAGCACCGGCUAACUCUGUG